ACAGGCGUGUGCUACCAUGCCUGGCUAAUUUUUCGUAUUUUAGUAGAGACAGGGUUUCACCAUUUUGGGCAGGCAAAAUGUAUUAUAACUUUGUUUCUUGUAGGCAUGUUGCAUUCUUAUACUGGCUGUAAUUAUUUUCAGAAGUGCUUUAAUUGAUGAUAGUGUCAGAAUGGAGGAAUAUUAUGAGACUCUUCUCAUGAAGUGUCUUUUAUAACUUUUAAUGAGCGCAAUAGUUAGAUGGUUACCACAGCUGGUCUGCUUCCCUACUGUAUUCUAUGUGUCCAGUUAUUUUCCCAGUCCUUAUGAAAUUAAAAGCAAAGUUUUUGCAAAGUACUAAGAAACAUCUUGCUAAAGGCCAACUCUAGCCAGGCCUUGACUUUUCGUAUCAUGUGUUUCAUAUUUUACACACUUUGACUGUAAUGAGACUGGCAUAUCCAUGUGAGUCACGCUGAUGAACAGGAUGUGUGUUUGUAUUUACGUUCUGUAUGAGGGUUUUUUGGAAUAUGUGAAUUAUUAUAAUCAUAAGAGUAUAUUAAACCAUCUUGAUAAGAAAUUUUAAACAUGUAAACUAUUCAUUCAAAAAAACAUUUACAGAGAAUUUCCUUAAGGAAAACCUGAUGAAUGGAUGUUUAUCUUUUAAACAUUAUAUGAUUGUAUUAAUAACACAUGAUGAAAAUUCUAUCCACUGUUAUCUUUGGCUGGUGAGUUUUUCCUUUGUGUACAUUCUGAAUUUCCAGGUUUUUCCCUUGAUGCACCAGUAUGACUUUUAUGAUUAUCAAGAUUUUAGUGGAUUCCCGGAUGCCUUUUAUUUGGUGAAGAAAACAAUGUUCUAAUACAAAGUGAAUGAAAAUAGCUGCACAUAUGAUAUUAAUAGCCAGCAUUUAUCAAGGAAUUACUGCACAUUAAGCAUGUGUUAAGUAUUCUACAUGUGUUACUUAAUUUAAUAUUCACACAAUUGUAUAAAGAAGAUGCUAUUUUUAUUUCUAUUUUAUAGGGAAAUUGGAACUUGGUGCUGUUUAAUAACAUGUACAAUAUGAGAGCUAGUAAGUAUCGGAACUGGGAUUUGGACCUACCUUCAGAACUCAAGCUCUUAUCUACUGUGUCACACUUGAUUUAUUCUGAUGGUUUUCAUUGAUGCUUUCAUUUAUGUGACAUGUUUUUGCCAGUUUGCAUUUUGAAGGAGGAAGCGCUGGGCUUCAGGAGCAGAAGGAUGAAUGUGACAUAGCCCAUGCUCUGAAGGAGCUUGCAGUCUACUUGAUUAGACGGUCAUGGAGCUGUGGGCACAUCUGCCUGGGACGAAGAGAGAGGAAGUAUCAGGUUGACUUCUUGGAGAGUGAUAUUUAGGCUUAGCUGGUAUAGAAAGGGAGAAGGGUAUUCCAGAUAUUCGGGGAAGUGAGGACAGAAUUUGCAAAGCAGCAGUUUUUGCAAAUGACUCAGAAACCAGAUUUUGAAAAGCCUUGGAUGCCUAGUGAAGGAGUUCUGGGUUACGCAGUGUGAACACUGGGGAACCAUUAAAAGAAUGUAAGCAAUAAUAGGGUGGGAUUUCCUUAUCUGUUUUAUUUUUUGCUCUUUUUUUUUAAAUAAAUAAAUAAACCAAAGAUUUCUCUAGCAAUGGUGUAGAAGUUCUGUUUUAGAGUGGAGAGUUUCCAGUUAGGAAGAUCAUAUUGAAGGCUGUCUGUCAGGAGUCCAAGAUCAAAGUCCUUAGGGGAUAGGAAGAGAUGAAAAGGUUUAAGUGCCUGGGAUUUCAAUCUAAUACUAAAGUUGUACAAAAAUUCAUAACACUUUUGGCAGUAUAUUCAUUAAUAAUCGUUUCUCAAUUGAAUGUGUUUGGAACUUAUUCAGCCAGAAGCUUUGAUACUCUAGAAACAAAAUUGUUUAUAGCAAACAAUCCGUUAUACUUGUGUUUUUAGCCUAGCUCUUAGCUUCUGCAAUGAAGUUGAGACUUUUAAGAAAAUAUAUACACAGUACACACAAACACACACAUGCUUACACAACAACUUACUAUUUAUCAGCUUACACUAAGUCUCAAAUUGGUAUAAGUUUUAAAAGUUAAGAUCUUAAAUCUUCAUGAACAGAUGAUAGUGUUAUUAUAAUGUGACAAUAAUAAAUUUAUUUUUAUUAAAUGAAAAUCUUUUUGAAAAGUUCGUAGAAUUUUAAAUGUUUGCUGUAGUCAAGAAAUAUUAUAUUAGCAAUAUCAACCACAGAUAAAAGUUUUAUAUUAUUUGCCUAAUCCAGGGGUUUGCAGAUUUUUUUCUUUAACAAGACAGAAAGUAAAUAUUUCAGGCUUCACGGGCCAUGCAGUCUCAGUUGCAGCUGCUUAACUCUGCUAUUGAAGGAUGAAAACAUCCACAGCCAAUAUGUUAAUGAAUGAAUGUUACUGUGUUCUAAUAAAACUUUAUUUCCAAACGCAAAUGACAGGAUGGAUUUGGUAUAUGGGCAGUUAUUUGCUCUAUAGUUUUGUUUGUUUACUUGUUCUUGAUUCUUAAUUUUAUAAUGAUGCAGGCUUACACUGAACAAUACUGUAUUUGGUUCUAGUAGAUGCUUCUUUUAACCAUAUUGGUAUUCAGUGUAUUGUCGGUGAUGCUUUUCCCCUUAGUGACAUACAGUAAUUUUAUAUUUGGUAGGACUAGAUACAUUAAUUUAUUUGUUUUGGCCUUUAUGUCUUCUUGUCAUUUGGAUUUCAUGGUGACUUGACUGUGGUUUGUUCUUUGUAAUUAUUUCAGAUAUUCACUUAACUAGAGAGGUUGUUCUGUCUAUCAGAAGGCUGAUUGGAGGCAUGUGCUGGAGCUAGACCAGUGUUUUGCAGCCAGUGGUAUGAACCUGGAGAGACCAAAGUUUAUAGCCUCUCUCUCCACUGCCUCCAAGAUAGUGACUGUGACUGGGCUCCUUUCUUUCCUUCGUUUCUGCCUUCCUCUAUUUCUGGGGUUAGUUGUAGAUAUUUUGAAUACUGAUACACAGUAAAAUUUUAGUUUAGAAACACAAAAUUUUGGGGGUUCAUUUAAUUGAUGGAAAAGAGAAUAUUUCACUUUAUCCUUUAAUACUUGGUUUAGGAAUAAUAUUUGUUCUCUGUAAUAAAAAUCACAAAUGUGACAAUAUAACAGUUUCUCCUACUUUAAACUCACUUGAUUCAUGCCAUCUUUCCUUAUUGCCUCAGCCUGAAGUGGUAUCUCAUGUGCCAUGGUUCCGUUAGUACUUUGUUCAUAUCACUCCUAUGAAAUUUCUGUGGCACUAAAUUUAAUAUGAGAUUAUUAGCUCCUGGCUGGAGGUGAAGGUGGAGGUGGAGUGGUGGGUACAGGGGUCAGACAGGGAAGACUUGCCUCCUUUAUCUUCAGCCGUUCCUGGAGUCUAAUGCAGUGCUUCACAUGCAGAAGGUUCAGAUCAGUAUGUGAUGAUGGAAUGAAUGGAUAGAUAUUCCACUUGAAGGAACAAGGGUGAUGAGUAUGAUAUUAUUGCUAGCAGUAAUUUCCUUCAUAUACCUUAAACACAUAAAACUUCCUAGUGGGUUUUUGUGGCCAUCAUUUAGCUCACCCUUAACUAAGCAUCAAUCCUGUCCUAAGUAUUAUUUUAGAUUCUGGGGAUACAUACUCAAUUACUUAAUUAUCUAGUGGGGAAGACAAACAUUAACAUAUUAUUUUAAUAAAAUGUGGCAGGUGCAACUCUGGGAGCUGUGCCGGAUUCUCUGGAGUCUAGAGGAGGGCACCCCACUCUGUUUCAGGAAGAUGGACAGUCUUUUCUGUCUCUUGCAUUCCCAGCCAAAUCCUGAAAUAUGCAUAUAGGCAAGCUAGGGAAAUAACAGGAAGAAGAGCAGAAGAAAAUUUAGACUGAAGGGCUGGCUUUAACAGAGGUGGGUGAGACAAUGAGGUACAGAUAAGGAUUCUCAAGCUGUGUUGUUGGAGGAUAAGUCUGGAGAAAUACACUGGGGUCAGCUUCUGGAGGGUUAUGUGUAUCAUGGUAAGGAGACUUGAACUUUAUCUUGAGAGGAAGUAGAGCAUACAGUGGUCAAGUGGCCAUUGUAGAGUUUUACCCUUGCCUCUACAUUUUCUGAAUGUCAGACACCUUCUCUGUUUUUCUCACAUAAAAUGGGGAUACAAAUGAUCUAUCUUUCAGGGUUUGUGUAUUCAUUCAACAGUGAAUUUAUGAAUGCAUACCAUGUUCCAGGACUCUAGGCCUUGGGAAUACAGCACUAAACGUGAGAUAAAUCCUUAUUCCAAAGAGCUUAUAUUUCUGAGUGUGGUGGUGAGAUAGAUAAGAAAUAAUAUCAGUGAAAUAUACAGUCUGUUAAAUGGUGGGUGGAGGAUAAAGAAUCUGGGACUAGGUUAGGAGCGAGGAAGAGGGAAGGCUGCAAUUUUAAAUAACAUUGUCUGGAAAGAAUUAUUUGAGAUGACAAUUGAAUGAAGACCUGAGGACAUGGAGGCCCAAUUAAUUGAGGGUAUUUGAGAGAAGAGCGUUUUGGAGGGAAGAGCAAAUGCAAAGACCCCAAAUUUAAUGCCUGACAUGUUUGAGAAAUGCAAAGAGUCAUGAAAGUUGGGGCAGUGGGAGUUAUAGUAAGAGAUGGGGUCAGGCUAGUAGUGGGGGCCAGAGUUUGUAGGUCUUUAUUGGUCAUUAUUAGGAUUUGGAGUGAGAUAAAGCCACUGGAGAGUUUUGGGCAAGUAAUAACAUAAUAUGUUUCAUAAGGACACCUUGGCUGCUGUUUUGAGAAUAGCCUAGCUAGGGCAAGGGCACGAGGAAGACCGGUUACAAGGCCAGUUUUUAGGAAUGGAGUGGUGAGAAGUGGUGCUUGUAAGGAAUUAAAUAACUUGUAAAUCACUUCAUAUUUACCGUGUGCCUGCCAAAUGGUAAGGAAUUAAUAAAUGUCAGCUAGCGUUUGACUGUUAAAGCUUCUAUCUAUGCUCAGCAAACAGGGUUUAAUUCUUUUUUAAUCUUUGAGUUUCACUUGUAAGAAUAGGAACUUUGCUGGCUAAGAUAAUAAUUGCUAUCAUUUAGCCAAGAGCAUUCAUGGUGAGUUAGCAUUGUACAGCCUCCUUAGCAUGUUUUCUCCUAAUCUUCUCACUAACCCAAGGUGGUAGCUCUCCUUACACCAAGAUCUAUGCUACAUGUGGUACCACUGGGGAAGUUGAAGGUAUUCAGGACCACAGAAUUGGUAACUGGAAACCAGGUCUGUCUUUUUCAACUAUGUCCAUUAGAUUGCAUCUGAUAUUCAAAAUUUCAAGUAGAUUCUAUCAAAGAAUAAAAUAUGUAAGGAAAGAAGCAUAUGAAGGACAUGUCUGUUAUAUUUCUGCCAUUAUUGGUAACUCUUAAGUAAUAAUGAUUAUCUAUGUGCUUAAUAGAUGUCAUUGUGUGUGUGUAUUUGUUCUUCUAAAUGGUAUGUUUGAUAUGAUCACAGACGACAUUGUGCCAAAUGUAACCACUUUUCCUGGCGGUUUUAAUGGUGUUGCAAGAGUCUGUGAUGCUUCUGGUUCCUUUUCUGUCCGAUGUAGACAAUGCAUUCAUAUUGCAUGAUGAUUAGUACAAAGUACAAACAAGGAGACUAGAGAAAAGAGAGGCUAAAUGACCAAAGAUACUUACCGCGGUAAGUGGCAGAGUUCAUUUGAGAAUUCAACAGAUUGGCUCCAGAGUCCGUGUUCUUGCUGAGUAGAUCACCCCAAGGGAAAACUAUAGGCAUGUGGUAUUAGAAGGGACCUUAUAGACAGAGCUCUUCAUUUUGCAUGUGAAAAACUGGGGUUCUGAUAGGUAGAAUCUGUAGCCAGUAACUGGUAGAGCCAGUACUGUAAUCUGUGCCUCUCACUUCCAUUACCUGGCACAGCCUUAAUUUGAUCAGCUGUUUUUCCAGAUGAAAAGUGUAUUCUCCAAGGGAAGAAACAAAUACUUUCUUUAUUCUCUUAAAGUUUGUGAGUGGCUGAAUGUUUUAAUGUGACGAUUUAUUAAAAACUGAAUCUUUAAUUUGAAAAUCAGAUUUGUAUCUUUCAGUUGUUUUAUAUUUAAUUAUAUUGAAAAAUCAGCAAAUUUAGAUUCUCUCAUUUGUUUCAUGUUCAUUUAUGAUAGCUAACACUUUUAAGAACCUGAUAUUGUAGCCAUAUUUAAAUAGUUAUUUCUACAAAUCAAAUAUAAGGAAUAAAAUAUGUCUUAUUUAUAACUCACAUAAAUUUAAAUCAUAGAAGAAUUGAACUUGACAGAGAUCCUCAGUAAGAACUUUAAAAAAAAUAAGUAUCACAUGUAUUUAAUCCAUACUUCCCAGUCAUUGCAACAAAGCAGGGUAUGAUUUAUGUAGAAGGAAAACAUUUUUUUGUUAUUUUUGUAGUGGGGCAUUUAUUGCACACACAGUAAGUGUUAUAACCAAAACAAAUAUACAAUUGGGACACUGUGUUUAAAUUAUCUUCUGUCAUGUACUAUAUAAACCCACAAUAGUUUGAAAUGUAUUUAAGCCACCAUCUGGGACAAAGCAAAAGCUGUUCCAGGAUCCAGCACAUGAUGAAUGUGAGGCGAGUUUCAUUAGGAGCCUCCUAGCACGUUUCUGCAUCCUGAAUCGUUUCUUCCACGGUUUGAAAGAAUUCCAACAUCCGUCUUAGCUCCCUGAGGUUUUGAGUGUUUUUAAUAGAUCAUGAAAUUUUUUGUGGCCUCCUAAAGAACUAAAUCAGUGAAGUUAAACAUUAUUGCAUUUAGAUUUCCUUUUAAUCUGGAGAGAUAAAAUUCAAGUUUGUAUCUUUUAAAAGCUUCAGCAGAAAUGCCCCAUCUGUUGGGAAAAAUUCUUACUGGGUUUUGACAGUUUGAAAGGAAUAAUUUCUCUUUUAAAGAUGACUCACCUUAAUUGAGAACCUAUUGCCAUGAUAACAGGUAGCUAUUUAAUCAAGUACCCAUUAAGUGCUAUGGGCUGGAGGCAGUUCAAGCCUUAAUACUAAUCUGGCAUUCUAAUCCAGAUUUGACUGGCUGUAAAGUUUAUGUGAGUGUUUUUCUUUCAGGAAACUGUUUGUUGCCUUAUCCCUAUAUAAUGACAAUAGUACAAGUAGUGAUAGUUACUGAGGCCUUACCAUGUACAGGCAUGGUUCUAAGCACUUUCUAAAAAUUAUCUCACUUAUUCAUAAGAACAGUCUUAAGAAGUAGAUACAUUUAUAAUUCCCAUUUUACCCGUGAGGAAAUUGAAGAUUUGAAAGGCUGUAGAACCUGCUGGAGGUUACAUGGCUAGUGAUAUGGUUUGAUUGUGUCAUGACCCAAAUCUUAUCUUGAAUUGCAGCUCCCUCCCAUAAUCCCCGUGUGUUGUGGGAGGGACCUGAUAGGAGGUGAUUGAAUCAUGGGGGUGGGUUUUUCCUGUGCUGUUCUCAUGAUAGAGGAUAAGUCUCAUGAGAUCUGAUGGUUUUUAUAAAGGGCAGUUCCCCUGCACACGUUCUCUUGCCUGCUGCCAUGUAAGAUGUGCCUUUGCUCCUCCUUUGCCUUCCACCAUGAUUGUGAGGCCUCCCCAGCCAUGUGGAACUGUGAGUCAGUUAAACUUCUUUUUCUUUAUAGAUUCCCCAGUCUCAGGUGUUUCUUCAUAUUUCUUCAUUAGUCCAUGAAAAUGGACUAAUACAGCUAGUGAGUUCUAGCCUUCUAAUUUAACUUUCAUGGCAAUGCAGGCAUUAUUCCUGUUUUUACAGAUGAUAUAGCUAGGAUCAGAGAGGUUAAAUAACUCACCCAAAUCACAUAUGUAAUAAAUAGAAAAAGGAGCUGAAUCCAUGACUUCUAAUUCCAAAUUCAGUAAUUAAAAAAAACUUCAACUUUUAUUUUAGAUUUGGGGUACAUGUGUAAGUUUGUGACAUGGGUAUAUUGUUUGAUGCUUAGGUUUGGGGUUUGAUUGAUCCACUCACUCAGGUAGUAGGCAUAGUACUGUAUAAUUACUUUUUCAAUCAUUCUCUCUCCCUCCUUCCCCUUUCUAAUGGCUCCCAGUGUCUGUUGUUACCAUCUUUGUGUCCAUGAGUACCCAGUGUGUAGCUCCCACUUGUAAGUGACAGUAUUUGGUUUUACUACUUAUGAGAUGCGGUAUUUGGUUUUCUGUUACUGUGUUAAUUUGCUUAGGAUUAUGGCCUCCAGCCGCAUCCAUGUUGCUGCAAAGGACAUGAUUUUGUCUUUUUUAUAUCUGCAUUGUAUCUCAUGGUAUAUGUGUACCACAUUUUUUUAUCCAAAUUCAAUAAUUUUUAAAACUAAAACAUGUUCCUUCAUUUUCAGCAAUUAUAUGUAUUUUUAUGCAUAGAAACUUAAAUACAACUAUGUAAAAUAUUUUAAAUAUGUUUAAUAUAUAACUUAAAAAUUUUUCAGAGAGGUAUUUUUUUGAAUUUUUUUUAUCUAAAUUGAAUCAGAGAGGAAGCAAGGUUGUGACUGUGGAUAUGACUUUUCAUAACUACCAAACUUUCUGUAGGUGGACUAGAAUAUUCACUUUUUAAAACAAAAUAUAGCAAAAAAUAUAACAAACACAGAAAAGCACUUGAAAUAUUGUGUUUGAAGAGAUUUGUGUAUAAUUUUGCUAUGCUAUUGUCCAAUAUGAUACAGUUUCCUUUAGUAGUUACUUUAAAUAUAUUUUUUAUUAUUAAAACAAUAUAAUAUUCUUUUAUAGGUUAUGAAAAAAAUCCCUAAAUGGUGAAAUUAAAGAUAUUGAAGUUGAGGUUUAAUGCAGAACUGCACUUGUUUUCAGGGAACAAAUGUCAAUAUAUUAAAGAGUUUAAGUAGUGUCUGAUAAUGGUUAUAUGGUGAUCCAGAAGUACAGUAAUGAUUCUCUUAAAAUAUUCCAUUUUAACUUAUUAGGCAGUUAUGGCUUCUUAUAUAUGCUAUAAGCAAAUGUGGUGGAAACAUAUUUUGUUUUCAUAAAAAAUUUCUGUUUUAAAGCCUUCUAGACAUUUUCAAACAAAUCUUUGUUCUCUAUUCUGAUUAAGGCAGUACUAUUCCAAAAUAUUUAGGAGUGGUUUUCAUUAAUUUGCUAUUAAUGUUACCAUUCUGGCUUCUUUCCUCAAUAGGAGACUAAUAAAACCAUGUGCCGCAGUAAGAUAAUGUACUAACAUGCCAACAUGCCUCCUUAUUUGAAACCAGAUCUCUUUUUCUGGUUUGAAAGUUGUGGAUCUUAAAGUUCUCUGGCACAAGGAAGGCAAGUGAGGUUAGCUAUGGAGAGAAGAUUGCACAAUUAAACCCCAUUGUAAUGUACGGUCUGUCUGGCCUAGAGCUUCAUCUUAUUCUUGUGAUUAUGAAACAGUAUUCUGUCCUGACGAAGAAGGUAGUGGGGAAAAGUUUCUGGGAUUUGUAGGAGAGUAGAAAAGAAAGAUAUUUGGGAAGGAUAUUUUUAAAAAAGAAGGGUAUCUCUAUGAUUUGCUGACAAUUAACAAGUCUUAAACAGACAAUCUUCUCUUAAUAUGAGGUUUUAUGUGAUGUUGUGAGGGAGCCUGGUAUUCACACCAGUGGCCUCAGUUAUCACACAGCAGCGAAAGUGAGGAGGUCAAUUUUACUUAUUUGGCAAUUUAACGUGAAAGCACUGGGUUGUGUUUUGAUAAUUCCUGCCAUAUAGGAUGGUCAAUAAUUUCUACUUGCAAAAGGAAAGGAAGCCUUUUUCUUAGCAAAAUAUUGGUUGGUGAACAGGAGGAGAUCUUAGUGCCUUGUUAUUUCGCAUCUGUGUAUUUGUCAUCUUAUUCUGACUUGAAAACUACUUCACUAUCUAUAUGAUUAUUUUGGAUUCUGAGUAGUUACUCAUUUAUCUCCCACCAAUAUGUUAUUGCAACAUGUGUCAUCUGUUACCCUCCCCACAUCAGCUAAUCAUUUGACAUAUAAUUUUAAUAUAAUAUGCUAGGAUACAGAUUUAGUUUGAAGUUUAAUAUUUUUCUUCUAGCUUUGGUGAGUGAAUUAUUAAUUGCCAUUGUAAAGAAAAAUGUAUCAUAUAACUGACAUGAGAAAUGAUCGUCAAAUAUUUGGUAAUAGUUUUUUGAGGACUUACGAACUUGAAUAUGGCACUAAGAUUUGGUUAACAGUAUUUCCAUUGAUUUCAAGACUUCAGUGACUAAAAGAUAUUUGGAGGAGUCUUGGGGAAAACUAAAUUGUGAAAAACGCUGAAAAGAAAUUUGUAGCAUUGCAGACUGUAGCAGAGUUAUAUGAUUUAGAUGCCUUGUGUUUAGCCAAAUCAAAAAUCCAAAAAUGGAUUUCUGAAUACUAAAGUAUUAGGAUAAUUUAACAACAUGCCUACCGUUAAUUUCCUAGGAAACAACUUCGUGUGUUAUGUUUUGAACUUUCCUUUGUAUUAGAUUUCUAGAAGGACUUAUAUUAUUCUUGUUUAGUUUCCAUUUUUUAGAAUGUUUCUUUUGAUGAUCCUGUAACUCUCAUAAGAGCUCAGACUUUUCCCCUAUACCUAUAUUUGAAGUUGUCUUUUGUCUCUCUAGUAUUUCAAGCCUAAACCUAGGUUUCACUAUUUUCUUCUUGCUUAUUCCCCACAUACAUUCUCUUAGUAUUACCAUUACCCAGGCUUGUCCAUUUUAUCCCUCAGUCUGUUCCAAGCCUGUUCACACCUUUCCUGUUCUACUGCCUUCACAUCUGCUACUGCCGGCUUGUGAUAAUCCCUCUCUGGACCAUGGUAGUUGCUUCUGGCAGUGUCCCUUCCUUCCCCUCUUUCCUGUGGCAUCUCUUCUUUAUACAAUGGAAGUAGUAAUUUUUAAAAUUUAAUUUAAUUUUUAUUUGUUUAUUUAUUUAUUUUUAGACAGGGUCUCAUGCUGUUGCCCAGGCUGGAUUGCAGUGAUGCGAUCACGGCUCACUGCAGCCUCUACCUCCCAGACCCAAGCAAUCCUCCCACCUCAGCCUCCCAAGUAGCUGUGACUACGGGUGUAUGCCAGCAUGCCUGGCUAAUUUUUUGUGGAGAUGGGAGUCUCCCAGUGUUGCCCAGGCUGGUCUCAAAAACCUGGGCUCAAGCACUCCUCUUGGUUCAGCCUCCCAAAAUGCUGAGAUUACAGGUCUGAGCCACUGCACCCGGCUUAAAUUUUAGAUUAGAUAACAUCUACCUCACCUCCAAAGCCCUUCAGUAGCUAGCUCCCUGUUGGACUCUAAAAAUCCCAACUCCUUAGUGUGGCCUGCAAAGCCUGCAUGGUCUGCUUCUCCUGGAUUGUAAGCUCCACGAGGACAUUCAUUAUCAUUCAGGAAUGUUCAUUAAAACACUUGUGUCCAACACCGGCACUGUGCUGAGUACUGGGACAUAGUAAUAAAUUAAUAAAUAAGAAUGAGAGAAGAAAAAGAAAUGGAAAACAGGAACACCUGUGGACUCUAGUCAUGGAACUUCAUCUACUGGUAGAAUAGAUAUUAUCCACGUAAUUGCAGAAAGAUCUGUUAAAAGUACAACACUGAUAAAUGCUGUGAAGAAUAGGUUCAUGAUUUUAUGAAAGCAGGUAACAGUGAAGUCUUACUGAGAUAGUCAUGACUGAGGUGAUGAGUGGGAGUACAGGAGGUUGGGGUGUUUGUGUGAGUGGGGAGAGGAGAGAAUAUGCAGGGAGGGGGUUUUCUAGAGGAAAAAUCUGCAUGUUCAAAGCCUGUAGGGGCAGGAGCAGACUGUGGCUAGAAGGCAGGAGCAUUGGCGGUUACCUGCUGUUAAGGAUUUCUAAUAAGCUGAAUGUGGGGAGGGGUGAGGAAAAGGGAGGAAUUAGUAGGCUUUUGGUUAAGCACUUGGGUGGAUCUUGGCAAACAUUAACAUUUGGAGAGGUUCAAGUCUUGGUGGUACUUGUGUGUGUGUGAGAGAGAGGCGCGUGCACACACACACACACACACACACACACAGAGAUAAAGCAAGAGAAUAUGAGAUCUACCUUAGGCAAAUCACUUAACCUUUUGAAUUGCAGAUUCCUAUCUCAUUUGAAAAACACACCUAAAAAUGCCUAACUCAUUAUGGUGAACGUCAAAUGGAAUUGUAAAAAUACGUUAUAAACUGUGAGUUGGUAUUGGUAUACAUGUAGAUGAUUGUAGUUAACUAUUUCUCAGAUAUUUCCUUGUAUUCCUCAAUAUUGGUUUGCAGCCAUUCAAGCUGGACUAUCAUUUUGAUAUUCUUCCUCACCAUAUAGCUUUGCUCAAGACUCCACCCUCAACAACAAAGUAAAUGUUUUAACUGGAGCUCUAACUCUUUAAUAGCUUCUUUGCUUCCAUCCUCUUUUUCUGCUUCUAAGAAAUUUAACUUCUCUUCUUAGUUUUUUUCUUACCACCCUUCUCAUUUUUUUUUUCCAUUCCUUCCAUCUUGGGCUAUAUUUCACUUUCAGAAUAGGACUUUCUUCCAUUUCCCUGUAGCACUGAGCCUAAGACUAUGCCCUUUUAUGUUUCCUUUGCCUUUCCUUGUUGGGGAGAGGGGUUUAGGAUUAAGUGUAGGUGUAUCCACAUCUCCUAAGAUCUUUUAAGAUUAUAUUUUAUUUUCAUUUUCUUCUUAGUAAGCAGGUUCUCUUAUUUAAAACCUCUCCCCAAACUCAUGUCGAUAACAUUUUAUUACUUUUUUAAAGAUAGAAGUUACAUAUUGGACUUAUAAGGUAUGGGAGUGCCAGGGUGUGGGAGAGCUUGCUUUGUUAACUUUUUGGUUUACAAUGAAGGAGAUGCUCCCUUUUAUUUUGGAUAGAAGGACAUUGUUCCUCCUCCUGUGGAGUAGGAAAGUUUGCUCCAAGCCAAGCAUGCCUCCUUCCUGAGGACUGAGGAAUAGCUAUCUGCCUGUGUCUAUUCUUCACAUUGCCUGGAGAAAGUUAGAAUAGAGGUGGAGAUUGAGUAUCUAGCCACAUGAAGUGAUUCUUACUGUCAUUCAUAUUUAACAUUUAUUGCCUUUAUUUUGGGGAAAAAUCAUUUAGAUGGAAGACUCCUCUCUUUUUAAUUUUAUCUCCCAUUCCAGCUGAUCUACAGUAUAUUUUCUAGGAGAAAAUAGAUUUAGAUACUAAUUAGGAUAAUUUAAUGAAAUAUAAAAUCUGUGCGAGGUUAGUUGUUGCUAUUCCAAUAGGAAAAUGAAACUGGAUUCAGUUAUCUUAUUGCUAAAAUAUGCUAACCAAGAUUCAGCUAUUCAGAUAACUUUAGAGCUGUAAAAUAUAUUUUAUAACUCUGUUUUCAUUCUUUCAUUAAUAAAUACCUGCAGUAAUUCCCUGGCUUAUUUUCCUUACACAGUUGUUAGAGUAGGACUUUGUUUUCUGUCAGUUUCAUUCAUUUCAUUAUUGUAUUUAAGCUGACUAUAGAGAAAUCAUGUUAGCAAAUGUAUAUGAAUUAUUUCUCCCUUUCCAUGAGGAUCUUUCUGAUGUCUUAUUUUUUUUCUGAGAGAGGCUGUGCAUUGACUUUGGUUAGAAAUGGUCUGUCUUUUCAAAAUAACUUCUAUGUAAUUAAAAAUGGCUGAACUCUAAUAUGAAGCUGUUAUCUUGAAAGCUAUUUCUAUAUUUAAAAAAUCUUAUUUUAAGUUGUAGAAAGCUUGUAUGUUUUAUGUUAGUAUCUGAGUAAAGCUAUCAAUGGAGGUACAUAUGUGGUUAAAGUGAUGAAAAUAUAACUAUGGUUAAAUCAUUCAUCUGUUGCAAAUUACUUAUGACUUCUGAUACAGAUUAAAUGAAAUGCUAGGAAAAAAAUAUAGAUGAGAAAAAUAUAAGUAGCACCGUAUGUGCCAAUGUGUGACUGUAUGCUUGUAUAUGUUAUACACAAAAGUUGUUAACUUCUGCAAAACUUUGACCAUUUUCAGUUUACAUUGUUAAUUUUCAUUUAUUUGAUUUAGAAAGACCAUUUAAAUAUGUUCUUAAACCUAGUGACAAAAUGUGUGGAAAAAUAAUGAGAAACAUCUCACAGUUAAAUAUUUUUGUUUUUAGAUUAGUCAUGAAUGUCUUCUUUCCUGUAGUGUGAAUGGCAGAAAGUUAACUAUUCAUGGUGUAAUUUGUGUGAAAACAUCUAUACUUGCAUAUUUAUUUUUAUUAUUCUAUUUUAUAGAAAGCAUUAAUUCUCCAACAUGGUAAUAAAACAUGUUUUUCCUUCAGGUACACUGGUGUAACUUCCCUUCUGCAUGAAAAUAUUUCAGUUUAUCAAAUCAUACUUUUCAACUAAAAUUUGGUUAACAUAGAAAUGUUACAACCAUAAAAAUAAAGCGCUAGUAUUAAAAAAGGUUAAUUUUGAUUUUGAUUUUUACUGUCUUUAUUAUCUUUAACUGUUAAAACAUGUUUAGCUCCUAAAAUAUUUAAUAGGGUAAUUUAAAUUACUGCAUAGCACCCUCCUUUUAGUAGCUGGUGGUAGGAACUCCAAACCAAUGGAAAUUUCUAGCUGAAAUUGGAAUCCAUGAAGAACCAAACUCAGGAGCCACCUUGUUUUCCUUCCUCAUCUAAUAUGGAUGUUUAAUUUGGGGUGGUGACUGACUUUUCAAUACAACUUUAAGAGAACAUUCUAUAUAAACUGUUGCGUCUCCCCAGCUACCCUCAGAGAAAACCACAUGUCUAAGCUGAGGGGAAAUUCACCCGCAUGGAACGGAGCCAGUCUCUUGGAGAAGAACAUGGUUGAUGGAACCCCUGAACAAUAAAGAUCUGUGAUUACUGAAGCGGCUCAGAAUUUCAUUUUUGAGGCCACUAAAUCACUCUUGGCCUGCACAGCUGUGUAGUCAGGGGAGGCUGCAGAUAUUAUUCAGGGCAGCAACCACAGAGUCUGUUUUUUAUAGAAUAUUUUCCCAGUGCUUUUGGAAACUCAUCAAGUGUUAAAACUCAGUAUUUUCUGGGAAAGUUGAAGAUUUUUCUCUCCUUUUAUGGCAAUUUCAACCUCAAGGUGAAAUAUUUCUUUAAUUAUGUGUAAACUUUAUUUUUUAAAUGAGAAAAUUACAUUAAAAUUACAAUUUUGUGGGACAUUAUUAAGCAAGAGGGGAAAAAUCUACCGUUAUGUGAGGUUGGGUUGUCAGAUAUUUUUAAAUUCAGAAAAUUUGCUGAGAAUUCUCCUUCCAAAAUGGUAAAAGAAAAUGAGUGCAAGAAACGCGCCACUGAUAGAAAAGUGGGAAGAUACUGAAGCAAUGUUGGGAACAGAAAUGAUCAGGGUGACUGAAGCAGAGUCAUAGAGCCUUGAAAUAGAAGUAAAAAUGUAAACCACGGAGACAAACAGGAAGCUUGUGGAAGUGAAUGAUGGUGAGAAAUGUGUUCUACAGUAAGAUCAUGAGGUAUAUGGAUUCUUAUUUUACAUUCAUUUUAAAAGCAUUUUUCCAACUGCUAAGAUUUAUAUUAUUGGAAAGAUGUUUUGCAUCUUCUAAUAGAAAUUCAUUUUGGAAUAGAGUGGCAGCCACAGUGUGGGAACUUCAGAAAAGGGGGUGAUGUAAAAUCAACAGGAACAGAGUGUUUUUUGAAGUGUCAGCAGCAAGGUCUGGCUAAUGGGAGCAGGCUGUGACACUAGGCAGCAUGUACUCCAGAAAGCACUUCUGCUUUCCCGUAGGGCAUCCCGCAGACCCUGGCUGGGCUCAGCACCACCUUCUCAUUGAUGUCCCUGUGUAGGUGGGUAUACGAUACGUAUGCUGGUCAAGAGGCUGUCCCUAAUUCUCACUUCAGUAAGCUGAAAACUCCCUAAUUCUCUUAAAAGCCUGAAAACUUUACGUUUUUCUCAGCAAAUAGUUGAUAUUAGUGAAGGCCUAUUUAGAGAUUUCUUUGAUAUUAUAAAGUGUGCUGAUGAUCAUAGAAAAAAAAAUAAGCUGCAUUUAUUUGUUCCCUAAAUUCUUAAAUACAAUCCUCCCACCGUGCAUAAUUACAGUCCCCAAGGUAAAAAUCUGACAGUUGUACUUACAUAAUAGUUACAUAAUCAGCUACUUAAAUAGGUUUUAGCUAUUAGCUAAAAUAAAUAAAUCCUAGAGCAGAUUUUUCUGGGUAGUGAAGUUGUCUUUUUGUAGCUGUUGAGUACUGGAGUUCUUUUUAGAUAACCUGAUAGUUUAGAAAAUUAAUACUGAAGCAAUUAAUUGAAAUUGACUUCAACCUACCAAUUCCACGACUGUCGUUUUCUUCUUUAGUUACUUUCCAUUAAUUGACUACGCUACCCCUCUUUGGCCCUGCUGUACUUGUACAUGGCUAUUUAUUCAUACUGUGUUUUGCCUCUCAUUCAUGCCACACCAACAGAUGCAUAAAGUGUCCAUCUCUCUAUUUUCCUCUGAAAACACGAUUUUGAUGCAUCUGGCAUGGCCUUCUUUUUCCUUGUGCAUAUUAGUUGAAGGUACGUGUGAGCUGGAGCUAGGGCUCUCACCACUUCCUAACUGCCUUGUGUUGGCCGAGAGGUGCUCUGGAGCCUUCCCUGGGUCCUAGUGGCUUACUAGGACCUAGUAGUUUCUUCCUUUGGCCUGCAUAGAAGCCUAGCUUAGCAUAGAAGCCUUCCUUCGGCCUGCAUAGAAGCAAAGCUUUACUCAUUUUGGACCAUUGAGGCCUCAUGUGAAUUCUUUGUCCAUUUUGGAUCAAAAAAGGAAAUGACAAAGAGAGACAGAAAUAGAGGUUAGAGAGACAAGAGUCUACACCAGAUGGUGUUCUCACCUUCAAACAGCUGCUCAAAACUGUACAGCUCCAUAUGUUCUCUUGGCUUAUCAAAAAGUCAGAAGGCUCUGAGACAUUAAGAAAGAGAUACUUGUGGGCAGCUCAUUUCAAUAGCUCGUAGCACAAACCUGUAAUUACCACAGGACAGGUGUGUGCAGAUCUUCAUGAUGCUUUGAAGAAUCUCAAGUUCAUUUGAGAACAUUGUCAUAAUGACCCAUAUAAAUAAACAGCCAAAGAUUAAUUUAGCUGCCAGGUAAGCAGUGACCAAAUUGAGUUUUCAGUAACAAACCCAGUCAUCAUUUCUCCUGGGUAAGCACUGGAACCAACAUACUUAUGAUUUUAUUAUGAAUUAUUUGUGUAUGUAAUUAAUAAUAAUGUAUUUCUGCUCUCUUUGCUUUUAUAUAGGAACUACUCAACUUUAACACAAUUCUAAGUUAAUAUUUAUUCUUGUUAUAUCAUUAUUUGGAAAAUGUGCUUAGAUUAAUAAGUGUAAAAAUAAUCAUAAAAUAAUACAUCUCAAUGUUCUGGAGUAAAAUUGUUAUUAAGUGUAUGAAAUAAAAAACAAGUUAUGUCUUCUCUUCAUCGUGUCCUUUCUAUUCCCAAGGUAAUAAUCACCUAAUAGUUGGGUAUCUGAAUUUCUAUAUGAUCAUUCUCAAUCUCACUCUCAAUCAUCUCCCCUUUUGUCCAUCCAUCCAGCCCCCCGUUCAUCUAUCCAUCCCUAGAUUCACCAGUUCCCCCAUCCUCCCAUGCCCGCAUCCAGGCAUCCACAGAUUCACCCAUCCCUCCAUCCCCCGGUGCCCCAUCCACCCACCCAUCCACCCAUUCCCUCAUCCAUCCAUCCAUCCUCCUUCCGUUGAUCCAUCUACCCACCCAUCCAUCCACCCUCUUAUACAAGUGCAGCCUUUAUCUCAUAAUGAAACUUGCUUUUUAAAUGUAGUUUUGAAGAUAAAUAAUACAUAUUUGUAGAAGUCACCUGUAAUUGUUUAUUGACCUACAAUUCAUGGAAAUGAUGUCCUAGUGCUUUAUUUCUUAGCAUGUAGUUAUUUAGUUGGGACUUUUUAUUUUUGCUGAAGCAUGGCAAUUUGUGAGCAAUUUAAGUCUCUGCCUUGUGGUAGGGGUUGGACCCUUCUAUGGGUGUGACUCUUCUUUUUUAUUGACUUCGCUGAUGAUAGAACUUAGGGGAAAAUUAUGAGAGGAAUUACCACAAGUGUAGAAUCGGAAUUUUAAAUCUGAAAAGGCUUGGAGAUUGUUCAGAAUUUGAUGUAAACAUUUUUCUGGCAGUGAAUGAACUGUUAAAACUGUGAUUUGCCGGUGGAGGUAAACAAAAACCAAAGACUUUUUCUUUGCUUGUCCUAAUUUCAGAUCCUAGUUCGCUUGGUGCCUGUGUCUUCAUCUUCGUAUCUAUUCUGUCUUCCCAUCUGAUAAAACUUGAGGUUGGUUUAUUCUGUUUCCAGAUGCUCUUUUUAUUCUGCUACCCAGAACCCUCUUGGUUGAAAAAGUAAUUUUAAGCCAUUCUUUUUUUUUUUUUUAAUCAUCCAGAGUCUCCUGAGCUAAUUUAGUUCCUUCGGCAGCUUUGACUGCCCUUUUAAACAUCCAGCAUACCUGAGUGGGUUCUGUGCCUCUAUAGAUGUUGCUGACACAUAUCACUCGUAUUUAUUUUUGCCUGGUACUCUCAUUUGUAUGUAAGUGUGUUCCUAAUGUUGAGUUUCCUUGCAAGUCCUGAACUGUGUUUUCUACUUUCUUCUUCCACUUCCUUUGUACUAUUCAUGGUUUUUACGCACGCACUAUAUUAAUGCGAUGAUCUGAGCAUAAAGUACGAUUUUUCUAAAGCUCAUAUGAAUCUGUGGAGUUGUGUCCAAGCAGUGAAUCUGGUUAUAGGAGGCCACAUUUACAGCAUUUCUGCUUAACAGCCUGUCCAGCAGGCAGCUCCGUGCUGUCUAGUAAGUCCUCAUUCUGAUUUGUAUGGUGUAGAUCCAUCUGUGCAGAAUAAAAUUUCAUCCCUUCUUUCCCUCUCCCACCUCUUCUAUCAGAUUUUAGACCUCAUAAAACCUCUCUUCACUGCUAUAAGAGAAGAGGGAAGAAUUCAACCCCAGGGCUUUGCUCCAAGCUUUGAGGAUAUUCACAUGGUGAUAGCUUUUAAAAGAUAGAGAAUUUCAGAACAAGGCAUAAGCCGGAAGUUGUGACUCUGCAUGCAGAAUUAGCAGUUAGAAUUUAGAGGUACAUAAGUAUCUGUAAUUGCCAGGAAACUAGAUGAGUAAAAAUCUUCCCUAUGGAUUGCGCCUUUUUUUCUUACUUCAUAGCUCUGUCAGUUUUUACUUUGUGUAUUUUGAGGUCAUGCCACUUAUGCAUACAAGUUCAUAAUUAUUACAUCUUGGUGGACUUCUCUUUGCUUAUUGGAUAGUGUCCCUUUUUUUUUUUACCAGUCUUAAUGAUUAUUUUUAAUUAAACUUUUUUAUAUCAACAUUGCUGUAUCAGCUUUCUUUUGGCUAGUAUUACUUUGAUAUUCUUUCUAACCCCAUGUUCUCGCUUAAAAAAAUUGUUUUGCGUGAUUUUGUUUUAAGGGUGUCUCUUCUAUGCAGAAUAUGUUUUACUUCUGAUUUUUUUCUUUUCUUUUCUUCUUUUUUUUUUUUGAGAUAUUGCUUCACUCUGUCACUCAGGCUGGAGCACAGUGGUACAAUCAGAGCUCACUGCAGCCUCAAUUUCCCAGCUCAAGCGAUCCUCCCAUCUCAGCCCCCCAGAGUAGCUGGGACUAUCGGUGUGUGCCACCAUGCCUAGCUAAUUUUUUUGUAUUUUUAGUAGAGACAGAGUUUUGUAGCCCAGCUGGUCUUGAACUCCUGGGCUCAAGCAAUCCACCCACCUCAGCCUUCCAAAGUGUUAGGAUUACAGGUGUGAGCCACCAUGCCCAGCCUACUUCAUAAUUUUAAAAAUAGCUCUGAUAAUUUCUGUAUUUGAAUAGGGAGUUUGUUAUUUACAUUUAUUGUAUUUGUGUGUUUGUAUGUAUUCAUAUUCUAUUGAGUUUUCGAUGACCAUUCCUUUUUUUUUUUUUUGCUCCUUUUUUUCCCAACUUCUUGCUUUCUAUUGGAUUGUUAGGGAUUUCUGUUUUUCACUUUAUUUCUCUCUGCUUAUUUGAAAGCUAUACAGCAUGGUUUUCUUUCUUUAGGGAUCACUCUUCCACUUUACUUUUUAAAGAUGGAUAAAUUUUAUACAUUUAAAAAAUUUAAUCUGUAUUUAUAUCUUCUUCCUGAGUGGACCUUAGCAUGUUAUAAAUGCUCACUGAAUAAUUCUCAUUGUUAAUUAGAGUUUGGUUUUAUUUUUUUAAAUGCAAUGUACUUACUUAUUUUAGAGUAAACAGUUAAUUAAAUCUAUAUUUUACUUGUUUUUUUUUCUCUUUUAUCCUGUUGCAUUCUCAUGGAUUCAUUUUUCUUUUUUUGUUAUUAUAAAUUCAGGGGGUACAUGUGAAGGUUUAUUAUAUAGACAUAUUGUGUAAUGAUGAGGUCUGGGCUUCCAGCAUACCCAUCACCCAAACAGUGAACAUUGAACCUAAUAGGCAAUUUUUCAAUCUUUACCCUCCUUUAACCCUCCCCUCUUUUUGGAUUUCCCAUGUCUAUUAAUUUCAUCUUUAUGUUCAUGUGUACCCAUUGUUUAGGUCCCACGUAAAAGUAAAAACAUGCCGUAUUUGAUUUUCGGGGUUAUUUCACUUAGGAUAAUGACCUCCAGCUCCAUCUGUGUUGCUGCAGGAGACAUGAUUUCACUCUCUUUUAUGGCCUCCUAGUAUCCUGAACUCAUUUUUCUACAUACUGAGGUGUAUCCUCAAGUAAUUGAUUCAACAAUGGUCUAAGGGUGGGUGGCUUUCUUUUAAUUUUAGUUUUGAAUAAUACUUUAGCUGGACAUAACAGUCUAGAUUACAAAUUGUUUUCUUCUCGGCACUUCAAAGAUGUUAUCCUAUUGUCUUCCGCCUAGGACACAAUAAACAAAAAUAUUUUUGAAUGAAUGACACGUUGUUGCUAAUAAGAAUCUGCUGUCAGUCUGUCGGUUGGUCCUUUGUUAGUAAUCUGUUUUGUCUCCCUAGUAGCUUUUGCUACUUACUUAACUUUGUUUAUAGUCUAUUAUGUUGUAUCUAGGUAUUGAUUCAGCUUUAUUUGUCCUGAAUCCUAUGUAGGACAAAUAAAUUCUUGAUGUCAAGAAUUCUAACUUUAUUAAAAUUCUCAACUUUUAUAUCUCCAAAUAGGGUUGCCUUGUCUUUAUGUGCAGUCCCCUUUUCUGCAAUUUUUAUUAGAUAGAUGAUGGAGCCUCUCAGUUGUUCUGUGCUGUCUGCUCAUUUCAGCAGCUUUAAAUUUCCUUUCUCAUGUUUUAAAUUUAUAAUGCUUUUAUCUCAUGUUCUUUUUACAUUUCUGCCAGUUGUUGUUUGCAGAAGUUUUACUUUUGAGGGAGGAAGACAAGGAACUUUCCCCCUUACUACCUAUUUGAAAAUCCUAAACAAACUUCCAUAAAAAUAAUUUCAUGUGGAGAAAAAUUCAUGUUUAAAUUGGUCGAUCUUGUUCACUGUAUUUCUUGGGAUUAGAAUGUAUUUCUGUGUGUUUUGGAAUUUUGGUGUGCUGGCUUGUAUUUGAGUUGGAAGAUUCCAGCAAAAGUCUUUUCUUUCCCCCACAGCAUCUUUUCACAUUAGAUGAAAUUGAGUAUGAGAUGGGAAAAUGAGCACCACACGAGUUCAGUUUCAUGGAGUCAUCCUAGGUGUGUCCUCUCUACUGUUUGAGCUCCCUUAGGCUCAUGGUCUCAGGAGCCAGAUUCUUGCCUGCUCUGGACGUAGAGGCCCGAGGGCCCAUGGUCUCUCCUCUCUUACCACUUUCCCAUUUCCUGCCUAAAGAUGUUUGCCAUAUUUAAAAGAUAUCAGUUACAGCCCUAUGACUUUGUAUAUUUUCAGAUUGUGUUUAUCAUUGCUAUGGAUUUUGAGCCAGAGGGCUUAUGUCAGUGAUCAAAUGUGUCAUCUUGUUUGGAAGCAAUUUGACUGGAAGUUGAGGCUAGACUUGGGGAAUAACUGCUGAGAAAAAAUUUAAAAGGAAUAAGCUCUUGCCAUCAUGUUGGUCAGAUAGAAGAAGAGCCAUCUCAUCUUUUGUUUGUUAGAGGGUUUCAAUUAUUUAAUAAGAGCAAGUAAUUAAGACAUUAAGAAUUAAAGUGGCUCCAAGAAGAGCUCUGAGACUCAGAACUGCAGAGUGUUGCCUAGGUUUCUAAGUUUGGAUUUCAACAGAAGUGUGAAAAGUUUCUGCUGCUGCUUCCUUCAAAAAUUUUUAAUAAGAUGUAGUAUUUUGACAUAUUAAUCUGAAUUGAGACUGAAAAAUUGCGUAAACUUUGGUUAAUCAGAUCGAUUGUCAAAUCCAGCUAUAUUGCUGUUUCAUUUUCUACUAAAAUUUGAAUUAUUCAUAUCACCAAAUAGCUCAGCAAAAAUGUUUAGUUUUUGCAUAUAUGUAAUAAAAAUAGUUGAUAAUGAGGUUCUAGGGGAAGCAAGGAUUUUGGGUGUGUGUACAUAUGUGUGAGAGAAUGAGAGAAGGAAUAGGAAUGUAUCAGGAUAGAAUGCUUCUAAAACCUCAUUUUCCAGUAACAGGUUUGAUAUACUACUGUGGUCAAAAAUAAUAAAGAAACUAUAAUAGCUA